GAGUUUGAUCAUGGCUCAGAUUGAACGCUGGCGGCAGGCUUAACACAUGCAAGUCGAACGGUAAAGUAGCUUGCUACUUACGAGUGGCGGACGGGUGAGUAACGUAUGGGAAUUUACCGAAUGGAGGGGGACAACAGUUGGAAACGGCUGCUAAUACCGCAUAACGUCGAGAGACCAAAGGGUUUCGACUUGCCAUUUGAUGAGCCCAUAUGAGAUUAGCUAGUUGGUGUGAUAAUGGCUCACCAAGGCGACGAUCUCUAGCUGGUUUGAGAGGGUGACCAGCCACACUGGGACUGAGACACGGCCCAGACUCCUACGGGAGGCAGCAGUGGGGAAUAUUGCACAAUGGGGGGAACCCUGAUGCAGCCAUGCCGCGUGUAUGAAGAAGGCCUUAGGGUUGUAAAGUACUUUCGUGGAGGAGGAAGGGUUUACGUAAUCGUGGACAUUGACGUUACUCCAAGAAGAAGCACCGGCUAACUCCGUGCCAGCAGCCGCGGUAAUACGGAGGGUGCGAGCGUUAAUCGGAAUGACUGGGCGUAAGGGCAUGUAGGCGGAUGAUUAAGUUAGAUGUGAAAUCCUGGGCUUAACCUAGAAUUGCAUUUAAACUGGGUUA
rnacentral:rRNA from 1 species